UACGUAGGUGGCAAGCGUUGUCCGGAAUUAUUGGGCGUAAAGAGCUCGUAGGCGGCUUGUCACGUCGGGUGUGAAAGCCCGGGGCUUAACCCCGGGUCUGCAUUCGAUACGGGCUAGCUAGAGUGUGGUAGGGGAGAUCGGAAUUCCUGGUGUAGCGGUGAAAUGCGCAGAUAUCAGGAGGAACACCGGUGGCGAAGGCGGAUCUCUGGGCCAUUACUGACGCUGAGGAGCGAAAGCGUGGGGAGCGAACAGG
rnacentral:rRNA from 1 species